rnacentral:lncRNA from 1 species
CUAAACUGUUGGGACCAAAACCCCCAAAAAUCAAUCCCUACCUAACUUUUUUGGUCAUGAACCUUGUGCUUAAAUUUUAUAUAUUUCUAUUUACUUUUACUAAAGUUAACGGGUGAAAACCAAAAAAAAAUGCUUAUUUAUGCCCCUUUUUGGCCCCUAAUUCCUAAUCUUUGAGACCCAAACCCCCAAAAUCAAUCCCAACCUUCCUUUUGUGGUCAUGAACCUUGUGUUUAAAUUUUAUAGAUUUCUAUUUACUUAUACUAAAGUGAUUGAGCGAAAACCAAAAUCAACUGCUUACAAAAUGUAUUUGAGCUCCUUUUUGGCCCUUUUUUCAAAAGCAGUUGGGACCAAAACCCCCAAAAUCAAUCUCAACCUUCCUUUUGAGGUCAUGAAACUUAUGUUUAAAUUUCAUAAAUUUCUAUUCACUUAUACUAAAGUUAUUGUGCAAAAAC